CCUCCCCCACUUUAUUCUGUUCUGGUACUGCAAGCCCAGAGAUCUUCACUCUUCUUCCCGUCUCCUGUGUCCUGCCUGUCUCUGUCUUUUUUUCCUUCUUAUCUUUACCACUUGAGACUUCCUCCAUGCCUGUCUCUGUGGGGCAGGCUCUGUUUCUAGAGCAGCUGCCUUCAACACCUCCACAACCCUCCCAUCUUCUAGCCACACCCUUAGGACAACCCACCGUUCCUACCUGCUCACAGGUGCCCCUGCUGUAUCUCAGUGGCUGUCGUGCCCUCCUCUGGCUCCCACUGUGCCCUGCAGUGUGGCACGAGGGGCUUCUGACUACCCCACGGGUGUACUUUUCCUUUAGGCUCGCUGGGCACUCAGCAGGCUUCUGAGGCCCAUGCUAAACUUUGCUUCUUUAUUUGGUUUUUUUUUUGAGCCGGAUGUUUCUGGUUAGUGGUUUCAUUUCUUUCUCUUUUUUUAUUUUGUUUUGUUCCUGUUAGAGUGCAGAGCUAGCCCCCAACCAUUCACUAAGUUUCAAAGUUUCUCACUUCCUCCUGCCUGGUGGUACCUGCUGUUCCUCAUUAUGCCCCAUGAGGAUGGGAACCGAGGGCUAAACCUUCUCCAGGAAUGACUCUUUUAGAAGCAGAUUAGGGCCCAGGAAACAGAAGCCACAGUUGCUUGUAAGCCUGGCUGCAUCCUGGAAGACACCUUGGGAGCACAGGAAACAUGCCGUGUUCAUGCCUCCCACUGACCUGCUCGGUCCAGGACGAGGCCUUGCAUUGGAAUGGAAUGAUGCUCAUCUACCUGAUGAACCUACGCCGUGAUCUCAAGGACUGGACCUCUAUUCAGCGCCUUGAUCCAUGCCAUUCAAGAGUUUAUGGGAAGGUUCAGACUCUUGGCUCCAUCUGGAUCCACAUCUUUGGGGACUGAGGCACAGGGGGCUGCCUUCCAGGGAUCAGGGUGAUGUCACUGGAUGGCUUGCGGAAGGACCGCUCACCUGCAAAGCUACUCUCAGGACUUGGUGAAGCAGGCUCCAGCUCUCAGGACUCGGUGAAGCAGGCUCCAGCUCUCUACUUCUCAUCCUUAACUGAGCUGCUAGACUUGAACAGUGCACGUUGGGGUCUCGUGGACAUCAUAUAUUUUCACAGGCAUUUUCGCCCCAUCUGUUUCCACCUUGCCUGGAAUGCUGGGCCGACUCGGCUUGCUUUACAGGUGAUGCGAGUGAAGUACGCAGAACUGCUGAAGGGUUUGAUUAGUGGUCAGUAAUCAAAAUGGCCCAGGCAGGGGAGGGUUCCUACUCUUAGUAAAAUCAGAUUAUAAAACGUUGGUGGGAAUACACAAGGACCCAUUCUUUAGCGGCUAGAUGUCAUCACAUCGUGGUUGAGGGGCAGCUGAGUAGCUUUGAGCAUAAACAGCCUUUGGGUGAAAUUCCUGAAUGCUUGAUCCUCAGAGAACCAUAAUUUCCAUGGUCAUUAAAACCCAGCCUGAGACCUUCUUGGCCUCAAGGUGUGAUCACAAACUCAGAGGCGGCUCUGGAGUGUGAGUCAUUUCCUUUUCCUACACGGAGGGCUUUUCUGCUUGGAGAAGUGGGUGGAUGGGAUCUGGAGGAGAAAUACAUGUCUCAGUGCUCUUGGGCUGGUGGUAAAAAAUGGCAGGGAUCUCUGGCAUACAGAGAAAUAAAAAAUGU